CAUAAGAGUUCCAAAUUCGAAUUGGAUAUGCAACCAAAUAAACCCCAUUGCUCACAACAGCCUUGAACUCUGGGAAAUUCAGACCUGGAUCCAGACUUUGCAGCUGGACUCCAUUCCUGCCUUAAACAUAAAGUAGAAUCGAAGUGCAUUGACUGCACACAUUGUUUACAGGAAACAUUCAAUUCAGCAUACUUUGGUGAAGUCCUCCUGGCCCGGCCCGGGGACAUCGGGCCUGGCUCCCCCGAGCUGCCACGGGAUGAUGAAAUCUCGCAGCGGAUCGGAUCAGCUGCUUUCACCCCUUCUGUCGUGUUUUCAACAAAUAGAACAUCCCAGGCUUUCCCCAUAAAUUGCCGGCACCAUGUCGCGCUCUUCCUAGAGCCACUGAUAAGGGCCGUUUGUGUUCUCCAUGCGGGAUAGGAAGUCCCGGGGAAGUUUGUGAGCCCCGCAGAAUGAGUGGGAGAACACGCG
ensembl:lncRNA